CUGCGCCUAUCUGCGCCUGUCAGACUUCCCUGCCCCUUUCCCGGUCCGUCCCUGGUUUAAGGUGCUAAACUCUGAAGUGUUGCCUGUGUUGUUUUUCUUUCUCCAGCGCAGCAGACAUCACUCCUGACCUGCGCGCACGCGGACCACGAACAUUACGCACAGCGAAGCGGCGCAUCCGCGGCGCCUGGGCAACAUCUGGAUUCAAACAGAUGUUCAGUCGGAAAGAAUCAGAAAUCCCAACAGGGCAGCGUGAUCCUGUCCGAACCGGACUAUGCUGAUAUCACGGCGGAUUCUUGGCCAGGUUUUGCUCGAGCUGAUGGAUUAAGGAACAGGAGCUGAGGAGAGUGUGAGAGAGAGAGAGAGAGAGAGAGGGAAAGAGAGAGGGAGAGCGCGCGCACACGGAGCGGUGCAGCAGGAUGAUUAAGAAACAAAAGCAGAAGACCUUCACACAAGUUCUGGUGCUCAUCUGCAUGCUCACACUCUUGCUAUCACCGAUCCACAUUGCAGGACAUAAAGUUCACCAUGUCAGGACAGGAACGUGUGAAGUUGUAGCAUUACAUCGAUGCUGCAAUAAGAACAAGAUAGAGGAACGUUCUCAGACUGUCAAAUGCUCCUGCUUUCCAGGACAAGUGGCUGGAACCACACGAGCAGCGCCUUCCUGUGUAGAUGCCUCCAUAGUGGAGCAGAAGUGGUGGUGUCAGAUGCACCCCUGCCUGGAUGGAGAGGAGUGUAAAGUUCUGCCUGACCUUAAAGGUUGGAGCUGCGCCACAGGGAACAAGAUCAAGACCACAAAGAUCUCUUCUGAUCGGGAUCAGCUUUGGUAGCAGAUGGAAACUAGAUACAGGAAUGACAAGAUGAGAACCUCAGCCAGAAGUAGGGCACCAGGAUGGAUCAGGCCGGUCCGAAGAGCAGGAGAGGCCAACAUCACUGGUGUCUCAGGAUCAACAUGUAAUUCAAUAGGGGGGGGCACAGGUUGGUUGAUUGAGUUGGAGACCUGUUUGAAGACUCCUCAUCUUUGCCUGUGGAUCUAAUUUGUGUAAAGACUGUUUUGUAACAGAUACACAACAAAAUCGUGAAGGUCUUCUAGGCACAUCAGUGUCGUGAGCACAUCUGGAUGUUGUUCUGUACUUCAGCUUCAUAAAGCUUGCUGUGGAUUUCUGUAGUUGCAUACUGCUUGCUGUUUUUGGACUUAUGGCUCAGUUACAGACUUUCCUUUACAUGGAUCCACAUGAAACCACAAGCAUUUUGCCUCAAGAUACAUUUAUUUAGUUUUGCUUAUAAAUGCAAAUAGACUUAAGGAUCUAAAAAUCAGCAUUAUAAAGGCGCAAAGCUGCAUACAGUACAGUUACAAUAUUUGUGAACUUUGUGUAGAUCAGAAAGUCUUCAAGUUCCAAUAUGAAUGUUUAUGUAAGCCUAUGUUAAUUUAUGCACCACUUAUUGCAUUAUUCCCUGAAGAAAGCUAUAGAAUUUAAAAAAAAAAAAAAUUUUUACACACUGUAUGUAUUGUUGCAAAUGAGUUCAGCGGCAAAAGCAGACAAUUUCAUUUUUCAUGUUGUUUUGUAAAUAAUUAUUCUUCUGAUUUCCUGGCCAUAUCAUAUUGGGGCAGUGUGAAUUGAUCUGCAAUAGGUAAUUUGUUUUUCUUGUUGUUGCAAAAGCAAACAAAUCCAAAUUUAGCAUAUAACUUCAAAAAUGCAUUGUGUCUGCAAGAAAUGUGGGGAAGUUUUCUUGCACCACUAGGAUCUAGUUAUAGGUUUCUUUUUACACCCAACCUGUGAUAUAGUCACCAGUUCAUCGAUAUUAUUGAUGUUUUCCAUGUUUUAAUGCAUUUUUAUUUAGCCAAUUUAGCAAGUGAAAAGAGAAAGGUCAGCAAAUCAUGGGUGCAGCCACGAUGGGUGACGUCAAUAGCUUUGGAGAGCUGAUUUGCUGACAUGGAGUUAUUGGUGAAAAAUGGGACAUGGCAAAUAACAGUUUAUGAAACAAAACCAUUAAUAUAGAGAGCUUUUGCAAAGGAGAUGUCUGAGUUUGUGAAAAAAACAAACCUGCUGAACAAGAAAGAUGGCACCACCAUCAAUCCACUGAUGGUAUUGGUUCAAUUUUUUUCUAGGUUGGAGCUUGUCUGCUUUUGCGUUUGAACUCUUCAAAUGCUUCCUCAUAUGUGCUGUAUGUCAGGAACAAAAUGACUCUAUAAGAAACCAUAUCGGUCUUUAAACCAUUUGUGUGUAUUAUAGCACAGAAGUAGUAAAAACCAAAACAUAAUCAAAGGCAUGGUUGUUCCUUUAAAAGCGCUUAAAGUUCUGAUUCUUUCUGUAAUAUAGUCUGCUUACAUGGCUAAUUGCAAAAAAUA